UACGAAGGGGGCUAGCGUUGCUCGGAAUGACUGGGCGUAAAGGGCGCGUAGGCGGAUAGUACAGUCAGAUGUGAAAUUCCCGGGCUCAACCUGGGGGCUGCAUUUGAUACGUGCUGUCUAGAGUGCGGUGGGGGAGAUUGGAAUUCCUGGUGUAGCGGUGGAAUGCGCAGAUAUCAGGAGGAACACCAAUGGCGAAGGCAGCUCGCUGGGACGUGACUGACGCUGAGACGCGAAAGCGUGGGGAGCAAACAGG
rnacentral:rRNA from 1 species